AUGUAUAGCAAACUUACCGAGGGGAACACGCUAGAAAUAGCUAGGGGGCUAUGGAAGGCUAGGCUUCCGCUUAAGAUCAAAAUCUUCCUAUGGCAAAUGUUUAGGAAUCGACUCCCGAUGGCCGACAACGUUGCUAAGCGUAACGGCCCAUCUGAUGGGUCAUGUGUUGUGUGCGAAACGUUAGAGGAUGCGAACCAUGCGUUAUUUCAGUGUGUGUUAGCAAGAUUUGCAUGGAGUGUCGUGCGGGAGGUUUUCCAACAAUACUGGAACCCUAGAUCGGGGAUGGAGCUUUUGGCGGUGCUGCAAUCGCAGCAAGGGGCCAAUGCCAGGGUUAUGUGGCGAUGCGUAGGAGCAUUGCUUUGGUCCCUCUCGGCGAUUAGAAAUAAAAUGAAAAUUGAGCAUAAGUUCCCUGCUAACCCGGCUGAUGUCAUUUUCAAAUGCCAUCUCUUUCUUCAGAUGUGGACACCUUUGGGGAAACAACGCGAUGUUGAGCUCAUGAAGAUCACGAUGGAGAAGAUCGGCAGCAGUAUUUCGCGACUUCGGCACGCGGCUUGA
rnacentral:rRNA from 1 species